ensembl:lncRNA
CCAUUACCAUUGUCCAUUUAGUAAAUUUAUCAUUUUUACACGUUCAGGGACCUUCAUGAGGCAUUUAAAAGGCAGACAUGGUAAGUGUAUUGAUGUGGCACUUAGAUACAUUUUAAACUUUAAUUAAUCCAUAAUGUGAUCCACUCGCAUGUGUGUCCGUGUGUUUGGGAUAGGUGGGGCGAUUGUUUUUACUGUUUAGGUAAAAAUACGUACCGGAUGUAGGCACAAACAUAUCACAAUUAAAGUUAUAACAACAAUCAUUUUUUUCUGUAUGCUAUACAAUAUACACAAAUUUUUGCACCGAAACCCAUUCAUUUAUUGUCAGUGAGCCACAGAGACCCCACAUAUAUGCGAUAAAUAGCAGUGGUUAUGAUUUGAACUGGUAUGGGUCACCCUAUAAUACUCUUUAGGGUGCAUGACCAUUAUAAUUAUCUAAUGCCAGUGCUGUAUUUUAACAAUUUCUAUCUCCUGUAGGUAUCGAAUCAGCCAAAAAGCAAGGUAAUAUGUUUUUUUUUAUUACUUUAUACCUACAUUCAUUUAUGAUCAACAAUCUUAGAAUAGUACUUUAGUUAGUCUUCCAGGAGAAUAUGUACUGUGGUGUCUUUCAGAUGUGUAUGACAUAUUGUAAAAAUAAACAGUUUGCCAUAAUAUUGCUGUUGAUGUAAAUAACCUCAGUGGUUUUGGUUCUGCAUAUCUAGUGCUUUGGGACAUCAAACAAUCAAUAAAUUAUUGCCGUCCUAUAAACGCACCGUCGGCUGCAUGUCUUGGCAGGUGGCACAAACAGACUAAACAUCAUAUUUUGUCAGCAUGUACUGCUAGGAUAUGCUAUCCCUAUUUGUUAUUACACAUUAGAGCCAAAACUACAUUCUGAUGAAGUUUGUGAAAACAGUUGUAUAGAAAACCUUCAUAUUAAAAGGGUUAUGUUUGUAUUGACAGCUGUGAUAAUAUAUCUUGUUUUUGCAGAGAAGCCAAGCACUUCAAAGCCAACACAGAUGACUCCAUAAAUGAUACAAAUCAACAGUUCUGCUUGUCCACAUAGCACAGCCGUGCAAAGUGCCCCAAAAAAAUUAAAAAGACAUAAAGAGAUGUACAUAAUCUUGAUACAUCUCCCAUGAUGUGUAUUGACAUAAGAAACGGAAUCUACGUCACUGCAAAGUACGACCAGUCAGUUUUUUCCAAUUCAUGUGAUCAAAUCCACCACAACUCGAUUGUGAGGUGGAGAUGUGUACGUUCAUUCCAGGAUUGCCUGGUCAUCAUGAAGCAGUCCUGCAAACUACUUCACUGCAGGACAUGGUUAGCAAAGGCCUAAUGUCAUCUGAGUUGGGUGACAACUGUGAACAUGUUGCCACCAAUGACGAGAGUCGAUAGUGUUUCCUAUCUUCUUCUAUCUCCUCAAGGGUGACGUUUAAUUCAGUGGGAGGACAGUGGAACUGUCAGUGGUGGGGAACUGGUCGAUUGCACCGCUGCAUCCAUCGUAUGAUUGGAAUGUGGUGGAUUUUCCAGCAGUCCCCAGGCACACUGGCAUCCUCGGACAUCCAAAUGAAGGACAUUGCUGACUUGGAAACUCACAUGGUGGAAAGCCGCAACCUCAACACACAAAACAUCUGUGUAAUGACUGAGUACCUGGCAACAAAAAAGCGGAUCCCAUGUCUGAAAGACUUGCCUGUGAAGCUGAGGACUCAGGAGGAACAGCCACCAGAAUGUUUUGUGCCUUCUGAAAGUACCUGGCCCCACACCUCCAGCACUGAAUCCUUUAAAGAUUAUCACCACUCAGGCAAUGGUGUACGGGAUAAGCUAUGUCCAUAAAAGGUAAAUCAACAAUUAUUUCUUACAUGGAUGUUCCCCUGAUGAGAUCACAUUAUAUCUGGGCCUCAACAACCAGACUGCUAAAGAAGCUUUGUGUAUGCAUGAAAUCAACUUUUAAUUUUCUUAAUACGUGUUUCAGUUGCGGAAAAACAUUGCCCGACGUGUGCCAACGUUGUGAGAUUCCAGGAUUAUUCUCCCAGAUUUCACAGCUUUAACAACCGUGUGAUCUUAACACUGCCAUUGUGUGAGCUUCUCCGGUCGGGUUUGUCGGUAAGACGCCUGUUAAUGUUUUUUUUGCACUUUAGUCAAAGACAAGUGUCUUUCAUGAAAAGGUUAAGCACAUUAAAGCAUGUACUAAUGGAUAACAAGACAACCAGUGGACGGAUGCUUGACACUGUCAUUUUUCAAUGACAACCGGUACCACCAUCAAAUAGUGAGGAGAGCAUUCCAUCACUUCCACCACCUACCAGUGUGGACACCACCCAGCGUCAUUGUAGCAGAAGCAAAUUGGAAACUGGCCUUCGAUGUCCCUCGUAAGAAUAUUUUAGCUUUCUGUUACAUCUCCCUACUAAAAUUAAAAUUAUAAUGAUGAAGAUUUCAACACAUGCAAAUAUGUGCCUGUAUUAAGGGUGUUAGAUUUACAAGGGCUCUAUAAUAAAUGACUUGCUUGUACAUUCCGGUUUUGUAUAAUGGUCAAUCUUGUUUAAUUUAAACAAAGUUAGGGGUUAUGUUUUUCUAUAAGAGUUCUAUGUUCAGCACAGCUUUGUAAUUAUGUAAACAAAUUCAUUUGCAGUUGGGACAUUUAAAAGGCCUGAUCCAGACACCAUAGCGGACAAGGACCUACAGGUGGACAUUGUCAAGGCGUGGUCGGAUCUGGACCGUUCACAAAUUGCUGAGGGCCUCAUAUCAGCCACAGAAAAAGGAUCUCCAGGAAGCUUGUGACACCCUGGGUGUCUCCUCAGAGGGGUCCAUAGCCGACAUGCUGAACAGGCUUCAGGAAUUAUUAAACUUCAAAGAUGUUUACCCAAAGCUGUUUGUGAAACUGCUGGUGGUGAGAUCUUAUUUGUGAAAAUUCUUCUUUUUACAUUCUAUAAACUUUAGUUAUAUGAUUGCCAUUUAAAAUCUUUUAUUCUGAAGGUUGAGUACUUCACUUCAGCUGUCCACAUGGCGUUGUGUAUUACGUCAACAUUCUCUUCUGGACAGAGUCCGCAAGAGAUCACGCGGACGGGCUGCUGAGUUUUAAACACUUCCCUACCUGUUACAUUUCGGACGUUGCAGGACAGGUUGCUCGUCACGCACAAAACAGCAAUAUUUCCAGCCAUUUGACGGAAGACUCUGUGGCACAACAUCAAACAACAUGAAACUGGCGGCUGAUAAACAAUUAAAAAGGUUGACCUGCAGUGGGUGAAGAACCUGCGAUCAACAUUACCACUGCAGGAAAUGCCAGAUAAUGAUAGGAUGGCAGCAAGGCAUCCCAUUAGGUACUCUCUGUACGACAGAUUCCACCAGAAAAAUCAAAGAAGGCCUGAAGAGAAGUUGAGAAGCCUCAACAUCUGCCCCAGUUUACGGAGAGAGGUGAACUCAUCUGUUGCAGAGCAGUUCAAUCGUGAACUUUCUUCCGUAAAAUAUUCAUUGUGCCAAAUGAACGAGCCACACGUCAAACAAACCUUAAGGGUGCUCAUCGAACUGCAUAAUGAAAGGAUAAACACAACCUUCAAAGCACAAAUGGAGGACAUGUGCAACACACAGUUGUACGUUUGACUUCAUGGGAUGCUGGGACUGCAGUCUGCCGGUAAGUUUGAUUAGUAUAUACUAGGCUAUAGUAAUUCUAAAUAAUACUUGAUCAAAUAUACAGGUUAACCCAUAUUUUUAAUUGUUGAGGAUCGCAAUUAUUACUUUGUUUUUCUUUGUUAGAAGCAAAGGAAAAUCCACUUCCUUCGGUGGGCCAAAACAUCGAACAUAAACAAAUGAAGUCGUCAUUCGUUGCACGAUCCUAUGCAAUCACUGUAAAGGACCAGGUAAUCUGUAAAUAUGUGUUAUUUCUUGUUUGUCCAAAAUGAAGCAAUACAUUUUUGAUUUGUAUCAUUUUGUUAUCAUGUGUGUGUGUUAAGGAAAAACUCAAACUAUUCACAGGAUGCCGUGCCGAAACUGCAACUAUAGUUGAAAUAUUGAGGCUAUAUGCAGUGUCUUUAAAAGACAUUGAGUGUUUGCCCACCAGAACUGUUGGGGCUGACUGAUGAUGUAAGGGUACCACAAUGACAACCAUAAUGUCAGUUACAGCAGAAUUUAAAGACCGAACGGUUUUUAUCAGAAUCUCAGAAAUGUACUUAAUCUUCCUAUUGAAUUCCAGGCAGUCAACUAUCGAGUAGCACUGCUGGCUCAAGAAAACCAGGUAACUGUAAAAUUAUCCAUUUAUUAUUAUUUUAUAUUGAUGCUUUUAUAUGUUCACACACAUUAAUUACAUGUUCUGUUGAAGUGUGGUGCUUUGGGUACCUGUUGAUUUCAUUUUGUGGCACCGACAAUGGAACAACAGUGGAGCAGUCAGUGACAGUUGUUAAAUGCAUUCCUGUAGGUACUUUUAAUAAUGGUCUAUGCAUAAUGAAACAAAUUGUAC